rfam:Oryza sativa Japonica Group DNA, chromosome 12, cultivar: Nipponbare, complete sequence.
AAUAAGUAUAGUUUUGCACUGUUCAUAUCCAACGUUUGACCACUUAUCUUAUUUGAAAUUUUUUUAUGAUUAGUAAUUUUAUUGUUAUUAGAUGAUAAAAACAUGAUUAGUACUUUAUGUGUAACUAUUCUUUUUUACUUUUUCAUAAAUUUUUAAAAAUAAAACGGACAAUCAAACAUUGGACAUAGAUACCAACGCUGCAUUUAUU